rnacentral:lncRNA from 1 species
UUUCAAUCCUUGAGACCAGGAAUUCUCAACUGUUUCCUUUCCAAGUUUAACCACAGCAGUUCCUGAAAAAAAUAAAUUAAAAAAUCUGUUUUGAAUAAAUAGUGUUCCGCUUCACAACAAGCUUGAAAAUCUCCGAUAUAGGCGAACAGCCAGCCUCCUCAGAGGUGAGACCUCUGUGGUUCCAAGGGGCUAGGGCCUUACUGGGGCACUCAUGGACAUCUCUCUCGGGUGGGUGAGGGACGGGAGUCAAGCAGCCUCUUGCUUAGCCCAGAGCUCUUGCUUCCAUGCCACACGCUCUCUUAUUCCAGCCCCUGACACUUAAUUCAAAUGGAGCUGGUUCCCCUCUUGUUUGAUUUUUUUCUACCUGUUCGGGAGCACUGUCCUUUCGAAACUAGGCUCACAGGAUCCUGCAUGGAGCUGUGGCUUUAGAGGAAGAUAGCGCCGGGAGCGCAGAGGAGAGAGACUGCCGAGGUGUAACGUCUGGACAGCUGCCUCAGGCCUCUGCCUCCUUGCAGUGACGGCCUAAAGUUCCGCUAAGCUCCCUGGAUCACUUAUUAUUUCUUCUGGGCCUCCUGCUUAUUCUUUGGUGAAGCCUCUGCUUCUGUACUGUUGGAGGACUGGGGGAGGGCGUCACGGAGCUGAAGGUUUGCAUAGCUUUGGGGUCCUGACGGGUCCUGCUCUCUGUCCCUCAGGUUCCCAGCUCCUCCCUACAGAACAGGCUCCCCACCUCCGGGAAGGAGAGCCACAGGUUCUGAGCAACGCACUGGUGUCCAGGUGCCUCCCGAGCUCACAGCACCUGCAGGCGGGCGGGGCGUUCUGGGAGUGUAACAAGCAGGGACACCCGAAGCCUGACCCUGCCCUGUUUCUCAACAACAGGACCCUCGCGCUAUUCCAACGAGGGCUGCCCCAGAGCAUCCCCCGCCUCCCCGUUGCGAAGCUGAAGACGGAAAAAUCACAGGCCAGGGUGCAGUUGUGGGGCUGGUGAGGCCAUGUGAGCAAGUGGACGAAGACCACCC